UACAGAGGUCUCAAGCGUUGUUCGGAUUCAUUGGGCGUAAAGGGCGCGUAGGCUGCGGGGCAAGUCGGGUGUGAAAUCUCAGAGCUCAACUCUGAAACUGCACUCGAUACUGCUUUGCUUGAGGACUGGAGAGGAGAUUGGAAUUCACGGUGUGGCAGUGAAAUGCGUAGAUAUCGUGAGGAAGACCAGUGGCGAAGGCGGAUCUCUGGACAGUUCCUGACGCUGAGGCGCGAAGGCCAGGGGGAGCAAAACGGG
rnacentral:rRNA from 1 species